ensembl:piRNA 21ur-171 ncRNA
UUAUGACGGUUUCAUUUGGAU